rnacentral:lncRNA from 1 species
UCUAUAGCAUGAGAAUACUGAAGUGAAAGUACAGAUGGUUGUUAGUAAACAAGGAUACUGAGCAUGAUCGAUAUGAGAAGUCACUUGGAUGUUUACUCACUCUUUAGUGACCUACUUGAUGUUGCAGUAGUAUGACUAGUCCUUUAACAUACGGUGCCUCAGUUAUUCAUAAUGGAGUUACUGUAGUUUGAUUGUACAUACACUUGAUCCCUAAUCAUAUA